rnacentral:rRNA from 1 species
CCCCUAGAUGUUCUGGGCCGCACGCGCGCUACACUGAACAGUUCAACAAGUCUUAACCUUGGCCGAUAGGUCUGGGUAAUCUUUGAACGCUGUUCGUGAUUGGGAUAGACCUUUGCAAUUAUGGGUCUUCAACGAGGAAUUCCUAGUAAACGCAAGUCAUCAGCUUGCAUUGAUUACGUCCCUGCCCUUUGUACACACCGCCCGUCGCUACUACCGAUUGAAUGGUUUAGUGAGAACUCGGGACUGGCACUAAGGGGCUGGCAACAGCCUAUUAGAGCCGGGAACUUGCUCAAACUUGAUCAUUUAGAGGAAGUAAAAGUCGUAACA